GAUUAACGCUAGCGGCAGGCAUAAUACAUGCAAGUUGAACGGCAGCACAGGUAGCAAUACUGGGUGGCGAGUGGCGCACGGGUGCGUAACACGUAUGCAACCUACCCUAUACAGGCGAAUAACCUUUAGAAAUGAGGGCUAAUACGCCGUAGUAUUACAGAUGGGCAUCUAUUUGUAAUUAAAGAUUUAACGGUAUAGGAUGGGCAUGCGUCCCAUUAGUUAGUUGGUAAGGUAACGGCUUACCAAGACGAUGAUGGGUAGGGGAUCUGAGAGGACUUACCCCCACACUGGUACUGAGACACGGACCAGACUCCUACGGGAGGCAGCAGUAAGGAAUAUUGGGCAAUGGCCGCGAGGCUGACCCAGCCAUGCCGCGUGCAGGAAGACGGCCUUAUGGGUUGUAAACUGCUUUUAUACGGGAAUAAUAGAGUGUACGCGUACAUUUAUGCAAGUAUCGUAUGAAUAAGCAUCGGCUAACUCCGUG
rnacentral:rRNA from 1 species